rnacentral:rRNA from 1 species
UACGUAGGGGGCAAGCGUUAUCCGGAUUUACUGGGUGUAAAGGGAGCGUAGACGGCAGUGCAAGUCUGAAGUGAAAGGCGGGGGCCCAACCCCCGGACUGCUUUGGAAACUGUGCUGCUGGAGUGCAGGAGAGGCAAGCGGAAUUCCUAGUGUAGCGGUGAAAUGCGUAGAUAUUAGGAGGAACACCAGUGGCGAAGGCGGCUUGCUGGACUGUAACUGACGUUGAGGCUCGAAAGCGUGGGGAGCAAACAGG